rnacentral:rRNA from 1 species
UAGGGAAUCUUCCACAAUGGACGAAAGUCUGAUGGAGCAACGCCGCGUGAGUGAAGAAGGGUUUCGGCUCGUAAAACUCUGUUGUUAAAGAAGAACAUAUCUGAGAGUAACUGUUCAGGUAUUGACGGUAUUUAACCAGAAAGCCACGGCUAACUACGUGCCAA